GGGCCCGCACAAGCGGUGGAGUAUGUGGUUUAAUUCGAUGCAACGCGAAGAACCUUACCAGGGUUUGACAUCCUGCGAAUCUCUUGGAAACAGGAGAGUGCCUUCGGGAACGCAGUGACAGGUGGUGCAUGGCUGUCGUCAGCUCGUGUCGUGAGAUGUUGGGUUAAGUCCCGCAACGAGCGCAACCCACGUCUUUAGUUGCCAGCAUUUAGUUGGGCACUCUAGAAAAACUGCCGGUGAUAAGCUGGAGGAAGGCGGGGAUGACGUCAAGUCCUCAUGGCCCUUACGGUCUGGGCUACACACGUGCUACAAUGGUGGUGACAGAGGGCAGCAAUAUCGCAAGAUAAAGCUAAUCCCAAAAAGCCAUCUCAGUUCGGAUUGGACUCUGCAACUCGAGUCCAUGAAGUUGGAAUCGCUAGUAAUCG
rnacentral:rRNA from 1 species